rnacentral:rRNA from 1 species
AGUGAACGCUGGCGGUAGGCCUAACACAUGCCGUCGAACGGCAGCACCGUAAGAGUUUGCUCUUUCGGGUGGCGAGUGGCGGGCGGGUGAGGAAUACAUCAGAAUCUAUUUUUUCGUGGGGGAUAAUGUAGGGAAACUUACGCUAAUCGCGCAUACGACCUACGGGUGAAAGCCGGGGAUCUUCGACCCUUGCGCGGUUGCAUGAGCCGAUGUCGGAUUAGCUAGUUGGCGGGGUAAAGGCCCACCAAGGCGACGAUCCGUAGCUGAUCUGAGAGGAUGAUCAGCCACACUGGAACUGAGACACGGUCCAGACUCCUACGGGAGGCAGCAGUGGGGAAUAUUGGACAAUGGGCGCAAGCCUGAUCCAGCCAUACCGCGUGGGUGAAGAAGGCCUUCGGAUUGUAAAGCCCUUUUGUUGGGAAAGAAAAGCAGCAGGUUAAUACCCCGCUAUUCUGACGGUACCCAAAGAAUAAGCACCGGCUAACUUCGUG